UGACCCCAACUUAAGCAAGAUUACCCGCUGAAUUUAAGCAU
rnacentral:rRNA from 1 species